GGGUCCAUAGCUCAGUGGUAGAGCAAUUGACUGCAGAUCAAUAGGUUACCGGUUCGAACCCGGUUGGGCCCU
rnacentral:tRNA from 1 species